UUAGUGAUCAAGGGGGAAAGGCCCCUUGUGGGUGGG
rnacentral:piRNA from 1 species